GUGAGUAACGACAAAACGGGUGAAAAACCCGUUCGCCGAAAGACCAAGGGUUCCAGUCCAACGUUAAUCGGGGCUGGGUGAGUCGACCCCUAAGGCGAGGCCGAAAGGCGUAGUCGAUGGGAAAAUGGUUAAUAUUCCAUUACUUCUGUGUAAUGCGAUGAGAGGACGGAGAAGGCUAAAUCAGCCUGGCGUUGGUUGUCCAGGUGAAAGGAUGUAGGCAUGUAUCUUAGGCAAAUCCGGGGUACUCUAUGCUGAGAUCUGAUAGCAAGCUGUACUUGUACAGCGAA
rnacentral:rRNA from 1 species